CCUACGGGUGGCAGCAGUGGGGAAUAUUGCACAAUGGGGGAAACCCUGAUGCAGCGACGCCGCGUGAGUGAAGAAGUAUUUCGGUAUGUAAAGCUCUAUCAGCAGGGAAGAAAUAAAGUCCUUUGGACUUUGGACGGUACCUGACUAAGAAGCCCCGGCUAACUACGUGCCAGCAGCCGCGGUAAUACGUAGGUGGCAAGCGUUGGCCGGAAUUACUGGGUGUAAAGGGCGUGCAGCCGGGGGGACAAGUCAGAUGUGAAAUCCACGGGCUCAACCCGUGAACUGCAUUUGAAACUGUUUCCCUUGAGUGUCGGAGAGGUAAUCGGAAUUCCUUGUGUAGCGGUGAAAUGCGUAGAUAUAAGGAAGAACACCAGUGGCGAAGGCGGAUUACUGGACGAUAACUGACGGUGAGGCGCGAAAGCGUGGGGAGCAAACAGGAUUAGAUACCCGAGUAGUC
rnacentral:rRNA from 1 species